AAAACGAAUUCAAUUAGUUGGAGCCGUUUUGGACAAAACGGCUCCAACCUGCUCUGUCGAAGAACAGGAUAUAUGUCUUUAGCUCCUCUAUAAGUUCCUGAAAACCAAAAAUAUAUUCACCAAUUUACUAUAUUUUACAGCAUAUUAAACAGAACAGUGCAAAAUGCAUUCCAGUUUAAUGAGCGUAAGAAAAAGAAAUGCCCUUAUAGCAAUGAUUCCAUUGAAGAUCAAAGUAUAAAUAUCCAGUUAAUUAUCAAGAAAACAAGUAGGGCAUUUUGAUGUUUGGUGCAAUGGUAAAAGUCUUGGGCUGUCAAGCGCAAGUGUAAUAGCAAAGCUCAGGGCCAUAUUCAGAUCUCCCCCAAGGAUCCUACUUUGACAGAAGCAAGACUAGGUGCUCUAAUGAAGGAGGCCUUGUAAUGGGCUUACAUGUACAUGUUGGAUCAGCAUGGACUGCGUCACUGCACAGUGGCACACGAAGGAAGGAAGGUUUCGGUUAGCAGAGGAGUGAUUCUUUCAGCUUCUAGAAGAGUCCACCUCACCUAUGUUAUUUUACUGCAAUAGCCUUUUACAGUUCUGUGUGUAUAACAGAUCAGGGUGCGUCUAGAAGCAUCUUUCUAUCCGGAAUUUCAAUUGUUUGUUAGUCGUUUUAUAGAGAGGGAAAAUCUGGAAUUCGGUUAGAAUCUAUUCUAACCGAAUUGCCUAUUUAAGAGAAUGGAAGGGUUGGUAGAGAAUAGACUGAGAAUUAUUUGUAAUUGACUGUUUGGAGAGAUUGGGCCUCUCCAAGAGCCCUCCACUAAUAUUUCGUACUAUUCAGCUCCUUUUCGACUUGCCAUUUCCAUUUUCCUGUAUUCCUCUAGAAAUUACCUUUACAUGCAUGUGGAUAUCAUAUUAACGCAAUUGGUCAUCAUGUUAUCUUGGAAGGGGCGAAUGGAUCAGUUACUAUGCCAAUGGAUAGUCUUCAUGUUAUCUUGGAAGGGGCUGGAAAUGCUGAGUCUUCUAAGACUGCUCAGAAUAGGGAUAAAGGUAGCAUUGGGGAAAAUGGUGCGGAUAGCAAUAAAAGGGGAUUCUCUCCUACUUCUUUUCUUUUAUGAAGAUACUCAUUUGGAAUAUAAGGGGUUUGAAUAACCCUUCUAACAUAAGAAAAUUAGGCAGUAUGUUAGGAGUUUCAAGAUUUCUUUACUCUGCAUUAUUGAAACCAGAGUAAAGAUUGAGAAGGCUGAAAAAAUUAAAGAGAGAAUUGUUCCGGGGUGGGGGUGGGGGUUCCAUAAUAAUUAUGGGAGUCAUCGUUUAGGGAGGAUUUGGGUGUGUUGGGAUAAGGAUUGUUUGGAAGUGAAGGUGGUGAGGAGUUCACAUGAUCAGAUUAUCACUUGUGAUGUUAAGUCUGAUAAUGUGAAGUUUAGUUAAUAUUGGUGAGUUUCAAAGCUUUGGUCCCAAACCCUUUUAAGUCCUUUGGGUUUUGGGCAGAGCAUGAUUUGUUUUUGUCUUGGGUUGAAGAAGGUUGGAGUUGUAUUGUGGAUGGUAUUCCUAUUUUUCGGGUUUGCAAGAAACUUAAAGCUGUGAAGAAAAAUUUUGAAAGCUAAAAAUAUUGAGAUUUUUGGUGGUAUUAAGCAGAGAGAUUUACAAGCAAAGGCUAGGCUUGAUUGUGCUCAAAGGGAGGUAUUGCUGCAACAUGGGAAGGCUGCCUGUGUGAAACGUGAGCAUUAAUGUCUUCGUGAAUACUUGUCUCUUAACAAGGCAGAGGAAGCUUGGUGACCAAAACAACUCUUAUUUUCAUAGGGUUGUUAAGGUCAAGAAUUCUAAGAACCUAAUUUCUCACCUAUGGGAUGGGCAAGGAAGACGUGUGGAUGAUGUCCAGCAAAUUAAUGAUGUGGCUAUUGAAUUCUAGAGGAAGCUGCUUGGGACUACUUGUCAUGUGUUUGAUUUUUUUCGAAGCUGAUAUAGUUGAGCAGCUAUUGAAGAAGACUUUGUUUGCAAGCAGAAUCUUGGAGAUGCAAAAGGAAGUGACGGCUGAUGAGAUCAAGCAGACUAUUUUCUCUAUGAAGAGCAAUAAGGCACCUGGCCCGGAUGGAUUCUCUGCAGGUUUUAACAAAUCUGCUUGGCCUAAUGUUGGGUAAGGAUAUUGUUGAUGCUGUUAAAGCCCUUUUUUUUUCUUCAAGGAAGAUGCUUAGAGAGGUGAAUGCAGAAUGCUACGAUUAUCAUAUUGGUGCCUAAGAAGCUCUCUCCUGCUGCUAUGACUGACUGACUUCAUACGGAUAUCUUCUUUUAAUGUCAUUUAUAAAUGCAUUACCAAGAUUCCUAAAAAAAGGUUAUUAAAUCAAUUGAGAAGUUGUUUAAUAGGUUUUUGUGGAAUGGUAAUGUGGAUGGCCUGGCUAGGGCUAAAGUUGCUUGGGCAGAGAUUUGUAUUCCUAAAGAUGAGGGUGGGUUGGGUAUUAAGAGGCUCGAGGAGUGGAAUAUUGUGGCUGUCCCGAAGCAUAUUUGGUCUCCUUUCACUCGGGCUGCCUUUCUUUGGGUUGCUUGGGUGAGGAUUAAUCUUCUUAAAGGGAGGAGUUUUUGGCAACUGAAAAUUCCUCAAGAUUGCUCUUGGUGUUGGAAAAGAUUACACAAAUUGAGGUCUGUCGCAAGACAGUUUCUGAAAUUUAGAGUGGGGGAUGGUUGUAAUAUUCAUUUGGUUCCCUUUCACUAUCAAAAAACAU